GAUGAACGCUGACAGAAUGCUUAACACAUGCAAGUCCACUUGAACUUCGGUUUGGGUGGCGGACGGGUGAGUAACGCGUAAAGAACUUGCCUCACAGCUAGGGACAACAUUUGGAAACGAAUGCUAAUACCUGAUAUUAUGAUUAUAUGGCAUCGUAUAAUUAUGAAAGCUAUAUGCGCUGUGAGAGAGCUUUGCGUCCCAUUAGCUAGUUGGAGAGGUAACAGCUCACCAAGGCGAUGAUGGGUAGCCGGCCUGAGAGGGUGAUCGGCCACAAGGGGACUGAGACACGGCCCUUACUCCUACGGGAGGCAGCAGUGGGGAAUAUUGGACAAUGGACCGAGAGUCUGAUCCAGUAAUUCUGUGUGCACGAUGAAGUUUUUCGGAAUGUAAAGUGCUUUCAGUUGGGAAGAAAAAAAUGACGGUACCAACAGAAGAAGUGACGGCUAAAUACGUG
rnacentral:rRNA from 1 species